rnacentral:rRNA from 1 species
UUCCGGUUGAUCCCGCCGGAGGCUACCGCUAUUGGAGUUCGAUUAAGCCAUGCGAGUCGCGAGAAUUAGAUUCUCGGCGUACCGCUCAGUAACACGUGGGUAACCUGCCCUAUGCUGGAUAAUAACCUCGGGAAACUGAGAAUAAUGAUCUAUAGUUCACUACGCCUGGAACGGUGAGUGGAUGAAAGCUCCGGCGGCAUAGGAUGGGCCUGCGGCGUAUCAGGUUGUAGGGGGUGUAAUGUACCCUCUAGCCCUCUACGCGUACGGGUGUUGAGAGACAUCGCCCGGAGAUGGAUUCUGAGACACGAAUCCAGACCCUACGGGGUGCAGCAGGCGCGAAAACUUGGCAAUGCGAGAAAUCGUGACCAGGGAACUCCAAGUGCAUGGGGUAAGACCUAUGCUUUUCUAGACUCUAAAAAGGUCUUGGAAUAAGAGGUGGGUAAGGACGGUGCCAGCCGCCGCGGUAAUACCGGCGCCUCAAGUGGUAGUCGCUUUUAUUGGGCCUAAAACGUCCGUAGCCGGUCUGAUACAUUCGUGGGUAAAUCAACCAGCUUAACUGGUUGAAUUCUGCGAGGACGGUCAGACUUGGGACCGGGAGAGGUGUGGGGUACGCUCAGGGUAGGGGUAAAAUCCUGUCAUCCUGAGCGGACCACCUGUUGCGAAGGCGCCACACUAGAACGGAUCCGACGGUCAGGGACGAAGCCUAGGGGCACGAACCGGAUUAGAUACCCGGGUAGUCCUAGGUGUAAACGCUGUGGACUUGAUGUUGGGGGUGCUCCGAGCACUCUCAGUGUCGAAGCGAAGGCGAUAAGUCCACUGCCUGGGAAGUACGGUCGCAAGGCUGAAACUUAAAGGAAUUGGCGGGGGAGCACCGCAACCUGAGGAUUGUGCGGUUUAAUUGGAUUCAACGCCGG